GAGUAGGAGGAGAAUCCGAAAACCUGGGGUGGUGGGGGUCCGCUGGCCUAGUGCUGCGAACGACUUUUCUUUAGUUUACUAAAUCCAGCAGCCCCUGAAUCAGAGGAAGAAAACCACUAUUAUACUCCUGUUCGCUUGGGGACACGGAAUGGGCAAAUCAUGGGGCAUUCCAGUACAUGUAUAUAUCUGUUCACAGAUAGCAACUAAGAUGCAACGUGCGUUUCAUAAGACCACGCAACCUUCUUGAUCUUCGGUCAGUGUCUUCGGUCGACCGUGUGAUGAGCUUAAGGCAUUGUCCCUGACCAUCGGCGCCACGUUCCGGUGUCUUUUUGGCCGGCUCUUGAGACCUGGCCGUCCACGGUUGCCGGCGCGAAACAAGCCAUCGUUGCUCGCGGCCAUGGCUCCAGAUGUGGAGCUUGAGGCCAUAAGUUCCAGAUCUGGAGCCAUGACCGCGAGCACGAUAGCUCAACAUCUAAUGGUUUGGCCAAGCUCAGAUCUGAAGGCUACUCUUCAAGUCCUGUGAUGCUUGUUUCGGACAAUGCAACUUGAAAACAAAACACAAAAAGAAAAAAAAGAGAAGGAAAAAGUGAGGCUUGAAGCUCUUGUUUGUCUUCGUUUUCUCCGAGCAUGGGAAAGGUUUGUCUAUGACAGCGACCAGCGAGGUUGAGAUCCCGACAUCGAACUUCCACACCUGAAGGUCAAGAUCUGACGGCGAGCGUCCAAAUGUCUUCAGAUUUGGACCACUCCAUCCCCGCCGCGACCUCUAUCGCCAACGUCGAGCUUCCAGAUUCCCUUCAGAUUUGGCCAUACCAGCUUGUCCAUGGCCUUGGCAGGACUUCCGGAUUUGUAACCAUGGCUCUAGAGAUAGCGGCUCGUCCAUGGCUGAAGGCGACGGUGGUCGACUUCCAAAUCCGCAACUCCGUCCCAUGAAUCCAAAUUCAUCUGUGGCAACAAAGUUAAGGAAAGGAACGUCGACCACAAAGAAGAUGGAGAGGGUUGGACACGCCCGACAGUGGUCGCCUUGGACGCUGUGCCAGCAACUCCGCUAGUGGUGAUUGCAGAGGGAGGGGCGGAGGUUACGCUCAAGGUGGACGGAGAUGGAGGAGUAAAAGUGAGACAACAACCUCAACACGGACCCCAAGUGCUCAAGUACAGGACCUUCCGCAUCGACCGUUCCGACUUCGCCUCCGCUUCUCCGGCUAGCCUCCUCGAGACUGCCGCGGACGACGACCGAGGAGAUCGUUUCUUGCUGUUGUUGGCCUGAGAGAACGAGGACAUGGCCCGAUUCUUGGCACGCUGGUGGAUCGACCGGAGGGUGUAGUUCCACCGGCAGAGUCCUUGGUCCUUGAGGGCCUCCACGGCGGCGACGCUGGCCGCCACGACCCACGUUCUGCUCGUCGACCUCAUCUUAGGAUUUGAUUCGGUUCGGUGGCGCGUUUCUGAUGGUGCGUGGAAGUGAAGUGAUGAUUAUUGGAUGGAGAAGAUCAGAGCGGUGGGAGUUCUUUAUUUGGAUGGUGAGCGGUGAUACUGACUGGUGACGUGACGUUGAAACAAGCGGCGAGCCCAAAACUUGUCGGCGUUUGCAUUCUGAGAGCAAAUGGUUUUGCAUGGGAGGAGAAUCCGGAAACCUGGGGUGGUGGGGGUCCGCUGGCUCAGUGCUGGGAACGACUUUUCUUUUGUUUACUAAAUCCAGCAGCGCCUAAAUCAGUGGAAGAAAACCACUAUUAUAUUCCUGUUCGCUUGCGGACACGGAGUGGGCAAAUCAUGGGGCAUUCAGUGCCACGUAUAUAUCUGUUCACAGACAGCAACUAGACGCAACGUACGUUUCAUAGGACCACGCGACCUUCUUGAUCUUCGGUCAGUUUCUUCGGUCGACCGCGGGAUGAGCUUAAGGUACAUGAGCAGAGUGUGCAUGAGGGCCGUCCAGGGGCUAAUAAAGGACCAUCCUCGGAGCUCGAAGACCAUGCCUUUUGGAAUCAAGCCGUCCCAAGCGACAAGCAACACGGAAUCAUCGGCCGGCAAGCCUUCUCAGUUCAGAUGGGUUUCUGGCAGCAGAGAUGCCGCGAAGACGGCUGCCAUGAUGGACGAAAGCCGCCGGCUCAGGGAGGCCGAGAAGGCUGACAAGGUCAUGCACCUUAUGUGCUGGGGUCCUCAUCUGAUUUAAGCUUUAUUUUGAACAUGGUUUUCUUCAUGUAGCCUCUCCCGUAUUUAGUAAUAGUUAGGCUCCUGUAAUUAUCAUCUGCAAGUGCAAUGAAACUUGUGCCGUAUAUA